ACCCAGGACAUCCUGGAAAUAGACAUAUUGUUUGAAGUACUGGAAGAGGGAGGACUACAAGCUACCUUGAAACAUCUACAUGAAGAGUACAAUGGCAUUUAAGCCUGACAAGGUUAAUGAGGAAAACCAGUUGACUGGGGAGUUAGAUAAGUGUUAGUAUCUCAGUGUAAUAUUUUUAUCUCAUUCCUAGAGAAGAUUUUCAGAAACCUUGAAUGAGAAGAAAGGAUAUCAAGAUAGAGACUAUUGCUGAACCCCCUAGAGAUUUUCAAACAAUGGUCAGAGGAGAACUCAGAGAAGGAGUUUACCCUUAGGGUGAUCCCUCCAGCCAUUAACACAUUGGUUCUGUGCAGAUUGGGAGGAAGAAAUGCCCCCAGAUUAGUCACAAGCAACAUUUUCUGCAGCAGAUUCAGGUUUUCCUUGAAGGUCUCCCAUCCAUGCACAGACCAAGUCUCAUCCUGCUCAUCUUAGGAGAGCUGACAAGAUCACAGCCCAUAGCUACAGUCAGUUCAAAUUGGCCUGGUGUAAGAAUAAACACUGACUCAUUAACCUUUGCAACCCAGAGCCCUGUCAGGUAUCUGGAGCUGGAAAUAAAGGUUAAUACCCCCAUUCCAUGA